rnacentral:rRNA from 1 species
AUACGUAGGGGGCGAGCGUUGUCCGGAAUGAUUGGGCGUAAAGGGCGCGUAGGCGGCCCGGUAAGUCUGGAGUGAAAGUCCUGUUUUUAAGAUGGGAAUUGCUUUGGAUACUGUCGGGCUUGAGUGCAGGAGAGGUAAGUGGAAUUCCCAGUGUAGCGGUGAAAUGCGUAGAGAUUGGGAGGAACACCAGUGGCGAAGGCGGGUAACUGGACUGCAACUGACGCUGAGGCGCGAAAGUGUGGGGAGCAAACGGGAUUAGAUACCCUGGUAGUCCACACUGUAAACGAUGAAUGCUAGGUGUAAGAGGUAUCGACCCCUUUUGUGCCGGAGUUAACACAAUAAGCAUUCCGCCUGGGGAGUACGGCCGCAAGGUUGAAACUCAAAGGAAUUGGCGGGG